UUCGUGCACGACUCUCUCCUCCGCAGUGCACUGCUGGACAGCGCUGAGUGCGGAGUACUGGACAGUGCAGGACAGUUAGCGCGCAUCAGCGAGGGCACGCGCUACCGUACAGUCCUAAAGUCCCAAGCGCCAGCCGCGCACGAGAGCAGCACCUACAUGGAGCUAAUAUGAACUGUCUGAGGGCUGAUCUUUACUUCACGACUCACACUAACAGAUUUACAGUUUGAGAGGGAAGGGACAUAUCAGACAUGGACACCUUGGUGUGGAUCUGGAUUUGUGGAGCGCUUGGACUGGUGUCCGGCUCUAAGCUUGAGCAGGCCAUAGACGAGGAGUGUGAUUCGGGCAGUUUCACUCGAGGUGGGGAAUGCUGUUUGCAGUGUCCUCCAGGAGAGGGAGUGGUCAAGGAGUGUGGGACCACCCAGACCGAAUGCAGUCAAUGCUUAGACAGUGAGACAUUCUCUGCGACGUUCAGUCACACGGAGAAGUGUCAGACUUGCAGAGAAUGCACGGGUCUCAUGCGCAUGCAGACCCCCUGCACCGACUCGAACGACGCUGUGUGUGUGUGCAACUAUGGCUACUUCAUGAGUGAGCUGACGGGCCAGUGUGAGCCGUGCACUGUGUGUCCGCGUGGUCACGGUGUGCUGAUGCGCUGCGACCACAUUCACGACACGAUCUGUGAGGAGUGUCUGGACGACACCUACUCUGAUCAGGAUAAUACACUGGACCCCUGCCUGCCCUGCACCAUCUGCGAGGAGGAAAUAGAGAUUCUCAUGAGGAAUUGCACACCCUAUGAAGAUGCAUGGUGUCAUGAUCCGUUGAGUCCUACCUAUCCCACUUUCGCUAGUGAUUCCAGUACGUCUGUCACUGAUCCAAAUGGUUUGUGGAGCCCCAACCCCGGAGGGGAUGCCACAACACCCAAACCUAGCUCCCCUCACUUCAUUGGCAGAGGGCUAAAUGAGAACCUGAUUCCCAUCUACUGCCCCAUCCUUGCAGCGGUUGUAGUCGGCCUUCUGGCUUACAUCAUCUUUAAGAGGUGGAACAGCUGCAAGCAGAAUAAACAGGCAGCUAAUAAUCGCGCAGCCACAGCUAAUCAGACACCAUCUCCAGAGGGAGAGAAGCUACACAGUGACAGUGGCAUCUCGGUGGACAGCCAGAGUCUGCAGGAGCAGCAAGCGCAGACACAGACACAGGCGCAGGCCCACACACAGCUGCAUGCAGCAGAGCAGAUCGUGGUUAGAGUGGAUGGAGGGGCUCAGCCUGACUCCCCUCCACCUCAGGCCUAACCAGUGAGGAAGAGAAUGCUACGUUAUCAACAGUAAAGAGAGAAUGAGAGGCUGGAGUGAAGGAAACAAGAAGGCAGAAGGAGAAGAAUGGAGGAGUGAAUCCAUGAUGGCCAUCCAGUAAGGGACACAGAGACAAGAACUCCGAUCCUUUUGAAUCCAGCAUGGACGAUUCAUUGAUGAGCUGGGUUCAACAGCAACAGUGGUUCCACCUCAGCGAUAAGAAUCACUGACUCAAAAUAGCUACUUCUAAAUAAACAUAAGCCUAUUACCCUGAAGAAAGUUCACCAUAGUGUAUACUGAAAUCCACCACAAACUCUGAUGAAUGUUUAACAUAUACUGGGUUUCUCAGAUGUAUUAAUACAGCCUUGUGACACAAAGUCUGGAUGUCCCGGGCUUCACAAGAGGACGUAAAGAGACACUAUCACAGUCUUCGUGGAUAUCGUGCAAUUAAGCAGUCGCACCAUGGUUCCUUGAUCUGGAGCCUUCUGCCUGAUCUAAUAAGGAUUUCGUUUUUGCCUUAUCUUUGAAGUAUUAAUAGAUUUUGUCUAUAAAAUCAAGGCCUUUUAUUUAAUCAGAAUUGUACACAUUUUCAUUCAGCCGUUUCCAGGUAUGUGUUAAAAUUUUGUUGGGGUUGUAUGCAUAACUACCCGUCGCCAUUUAGUUUCAAAGUAGCUGAUCUCAGGUCAGCGUUUAUUGGCAACAACUCACGACUGUGACAUUUGCUGACCUUUAAUAAUGUAAUGACUUGGAUCUAUAUUUAGCUUGCCUUCCUUUUUCUCUCCUUCACAACUUUUUCUCUAUAAAACCCAUUCAUGGCAUAUCAUAUUCCCUGCCUUCUUCUAGUUACUGCAGUUUAGGUUUCAUUGCCUAGAUCUUCUUGCCUUACCUCUUCAGAAAUUUGAGUCACAAAGCAAACAGAAACCAGAACUGAAAGAUCUACAGAACUAUUUUCAUGCCAUCACGCACUCCUAGCUGUAAACACCAUGUUUAUGUCCUGCCAUUAAUCAUUCAUAUCAUUUUUCAGGUUUGAUAGAGAUUUGGUGGGAAUUCAUCUUAGCAGCACAGGUUUGAUAAUGAUUCCAGUAAUGAUUCCUGUAGUACUUUUGAGGAAACUUUAUCAACCUCCUUAAUAAUUUAAGUUUGUUCAUUGACAAUUCAUUUACAAUCCUCAUAUGUGCAGCCAAUACUAGGAUUUCCCAACAGCAUAUUUUCAAGCAUGUUUUCUUUCUUAGAUGGCUUUUACACUGGGCUUUUACCCGAGCGCGAUUGUUCCCGGCGCCGCCCGCAGCGUUGGUCUGCUUUCACACUCAAUAGUUGUAUCGAACCCAGGUCUGUUUGCAGUCACCUUACGUCAUCGCAAACGUACUGGGAAAAGGCAUGGAGAACACAAUGCGACUGAGCAUAGUUGUAAUUUGUUUGUGAGUUUUAUCUUACUCCUAUCUUACUCCUGUAUGUUCUCUUCUCUCCAAAUUUGAGUGAGGCACCUCACCUCUUCAGUGUCCCACAACGUUCCCCUGCCACUCAUGGUUCUCGUGUGUUGAGGAAACAAUGAUAUCGACAGUGUUAAGCAUGCACGGGAUACUUUACUUCCUAAACAAGUGCGCACCUGAGUCCGUGUUGCUUGCACAUUCAUGCGAACCGCGCCACAGUUCGGGAGCAACCAAACUCAGACCACCUUCUCCAGGUAGUCUCGGGUUCGGUACCCCAGUGCGCACCAGGGUCCGAUGACAGCGUUCACAUUAGCGAUUUUUCAUGAGAACCGUGCCCCGUUCCGCACUUAACUGCCAGUGUGAAAGCCCCCUUAGACUCUACAAUCAUUGACUCUUACUGUAGCUCUUGAUGAGUCAUCUGUCUAGGUUUUCAUCAGCUUUUGUCACCUCAUUUGUGUUCUUUCUUUCUUACUCUCCAUCUUGGCUACAUUCCAUGAAUGCUGAUGCAGAUUCAAAUGCUAUAAUGUGGUAUGAAUUACUCAGCCAUCUCAGUAAUGUGCUGGAAGCUGUCAUGGUCACUGCGAAAAAAGUGUUAGGAUGCAUCACUGACCUGGAGUAAGCGGCAAUAAGAAGUACUUUAACAUUAUUUUUUAAGCGUUAAAGUCAAUGGGAAUGGUCUAACCAAACAAACAAUUUAACACUCAACAAAAUAAAUAUAAUGGCGAAAAAUAGUCCUUUGCUUCCUGUUUUCUAUCCGUCCAAUGGAUAUUGCACUUGUAAAUAGAUGUUAGGGACCUAACACGGAUAUUACAUAUCUUAUCCACACAAAGUAUCUAAUGUCUUUUGUUGCAUUUCUAACGCGCUCACUGUCAGGCUCUGGAAUAAACAUGUGAGGCAUUAGUGAGACAUUCCUCUCAGGCAGGUAGUAAUUACCCCUGAAGCCUUCUGUUUCUCUUCCCCACAGUCAGUUCACUCUCCUGGGGCUCUGCUCUGCUCUGCUUCCCUUCCCUCGAGCUUUGCCUCUUCAUUCUGGGAAUCACCAUCCAACUUUUUUUGCUCUCAGCUCAACUUAUAUUCCUACACUCAAAAAUAAAAAGUUGUUUUCAUAACGAUGUAAUAGAAUAACUAUUUCGGGUUCCUUGAACCUUUUAGCCAUCAGCUGUUUUCUCCUCUAGUGUUAAGAACAUUUGAAUUACCUAAAGAACCUUUUUUCACUAUAAAGGGUCUUGUGUGCAAUGGAAUGGUUCCAUGGAUGUUACAGUUUCUUAAUAGAACCAUAAAGAACCUUUCUUUUUAAGAGUAUACAUCAAUGAUUAUUCUACAGGAAAUCACAUUUUGAGACAACAAGACCAUGCAUUUUCACCCCCAAAAUCCAUCUUAAGCAGUUAGCUGUAUUUUGCAAUAUUUCAGAUGAUUUAAGCUGGUCUUUAGCUGGCUGACCUGCCACCUUUGUUCACAAGCCAACUUGACCACCUUAUACUGGUAUGUAAAAAAAGAAAGAAAGAAAGAAAGACACUACCAGUUUAAGCAGGAUUUUUCAGCAAGGCUAUUAUUCCUGUACUCAAUGCAAGUUACUGACUGGUUUAAACUAUUAUACUCUAAUUCAGUUCCUACUUGCAGUCAUGCAUUACCUUAAAGUUUGAUUUAUGAGUCGGAUGGAACAUCUCUGCCUCCUGCUUUUUUGGCAGGCAGGUUUUCAGCUCUAUCAGCUUUUAAACAGCUUCAGUUGCAGGUCUCUCCCCUGGUGCUGUGCUUUCCAUUAAUCAGCAAAGCAUAUCAUUGGCUUCUAGAGUUGCUCGCAUGCUAGUGUUUAAUGCACAUGAUGGGUUGAACGUUCACUCGUGGGACACUUCGCUGAUGUUUGUUCUGAUAUUAGCCUACUUGAGAGAACCUGAUGAGAUCAAGAUAAGAUCAGUCUGUCUGCGGGAAUACAAGAGAAGUCUGAGUGACUGAUGCUUCUCAGAGGGGGUCAUGUGAAUAUAUAGAAAAUAUGGCUAUAUUUUCAUAGUAUGCUAAACUGAUUGGUUGUUGUGUUCUGAGAAUGUAAGUAUGAGAGAGAGCCAUUUACCAUGUGUUUCACAUAUAACCCAGACGACUUGUGCUUGGCAUCUAAAAGGCAUCUAUGCAUCAGUAAGCAUUAAUCAGUAAGCAUCUAAAACAACUGAAGGUAACUGGUAGAUGGAGUCUUGAACCAGUUCCCUGGAAUGUGCCAAAGUUGCCAUAAAUAAAACAGCCAGAAGUAUAUCUGAUGAAAACAAAACUUGUUUGCAAUAUAUUCACAUGCUAAAAAACUCCAUACUUGUCUCUCUCUUGUCUCUUUUCUUCACUUCUACUUCAGUACAGUAAUUCUUUAUUUUUUAUAAACAUUUCUUUUUUUUUUACAUUUCAAAUAGAUGUAUUCUCUGAGAGCAGUAUUUUAUAGAGACAGUUUACUGUCGUAGCACUUAAAACCGAUUGAAUUUGAACCAGAAAGUGCCUGUGGAUUUGUCAGGUGUCUUUGAGCAUUGUUCAACAAGUUUGACUUCAUGUGUUUAUAUAUCUAUUUUGCCUGUGUGUUCUGUGUUAAUUAUAUGUGAUAGUUUUUUGCCUUUUUAUUUUUUAUCUUGUUAAUCUUUAGUUAUAAGAAAAUGUUGAUGAGGAUUUCAAAACAAUAUGUCAUUAUCCAGGUAAAAUACAUUCAGGUGAAUUUCAUCUAUUAUUCUGUUUCUGAGAAAUGCCUACACAAACAGUAUUUGUAUGUUAUUCAGUUAAAAAAUGUAAACAUCGAAACAAAACUAAGACAUUUUUAAGACAAGAAUUUAUGUUGAAUUAAGUUCCUUUACCCCAUAACUCCAACCACAAAAUAGUUAAUUUAUGGUUCAAAUGGUUUAACAGUUGGGUAAGAAAAAUGUAAUUAUAUAUUCUCUCAAAAUGAUUAUUGCAAUUUUAUACAAAUUUGUCUCUCAAGUAAUUGUAUUUUACACUAUGAUUUUUUGGGGGGUGGGGGGUUGGACAAAAAAAAAAAAACUGCUUAAGAAUAAAGAAAU